UGGGGUCUGUGCUGGUGCCAGCCCUGGUUGCGUGUGGUGGCACCUCCAUGGGGUCCUCCCCGGCCAGGAGGGGAUCCCGCCCGUGCCCUGUGCUUGGAUGGAGGUCCCAGCAUGUGGGGAAGGGGGGGAGACCCCAUUUGAGGUGGAGGUGGCCCCGCUGCCCCUAUCCUUUGCCCCCUCCUCACUGAUGCUGGGUAUGGGGUCAGCACCCACCUCCUCACCCCACGCAAACCAACGGCUGCCCCCCAUUCCCCCCCAAGCCCCCCCACCCCCCUUUCCCCACUCUGCCAUCAUACAGCCCCCCCUUGGCACCCCAAUCCCCUUGGGGAGGUGGGGGGGGUCCCUCAAUCCCCUUGGAGAGGUCCCUCCCCAUCCCCACCUCCCCCCCCAACCCCCCAGCUUUUCCAAAGGGGGCGCAAGGGGGACUUGACCCCAGCUCCCCUCGGGUCCUCCCCCCUCGGGAAGGUGCCAGCCGGGGCCGCCCCCCCGCGGGGCGCUGCCCUGCCCGGCCCGGCCCCCGGUGAGUCACGCUCCAGCCGUGCGCUCCCGGGGCGGCGGGCGGGCGCCGAGGGAAGCAGGAAGCGGCGGGGGAAGGCACGGCACGGCUCGGCUCGGCACGGCUCGGCACGGCUCCUCUCCGCUCCCUUUCGCCCUGCCGGGCCCCGCUCCGGCGCCUCCCGGGCCCGUCCCCCCCCCUCCCCAUCCCUCUGCGCGCAGCGCUCCGUGCCCAUCCAUGGACGAGCGCGCCCCCCGGUGGACGGCGCGCCCCCGGGGGGGGGCCCCCCCCCCCCGCCCCCCCCCCCCCCCUCCCCGGGACCCCCCCGGGUGCCCCCGAGCUCUGUUGCCCCCUCCCCGCAGUCCGUUUUAUGCCCCCCGACCCCUUCACCCCAUAACAGCACUGGGGUGGGGUGGGUGCCCCCGGCCUCUCCGAGCUCCCCCUCUCCAAGCAGGAGGGGUGCUGGGGGGGGACAAGGUGUGGGGGUGACAAUUGGGGGGUGCCCCCCUUCGGUGACCCUCCUGCUGCGUCUCCAGGGGGGGCGCACGGGGUCGUGGCACCCGGUGGGUGCUGCCUGGCUCUUGGUGGGUCACCAAGUCCUUGUGGGGGGGGGACAAGGGGCUUUUUGUCCCCAAGGUGAGGACACAAGAGGCCACCCCCGCUGCUCCGGUGUCAGGGUGCUGGGGAUACCCUGGGGGUGCCACCAGUCGGUGCCAGUGACCUUGGCACGGCUCCGUGCCCUGCUCUUGGCACUCUCCCCCCCUCGUUGUAGGGCUGGGCCUCGGUUUCCCCACGGGGCAGCGGGCAGCCCGUGCCUUACCGCCGUCCCCAAACGUCCCCCGCCACCUCCGGGAGCCUUUUGCCACCCUCUCCGUGCCGAGGGGGGAGCCCGGCUAACGUGCGCCGCGUCGCCCUUUCCGCGGGGUGAGGUCACGGCCUCCCAGUCUCGCCCAUCUCCCGGGCUAAUCGUCUCCCGGCGUGUUUAUCUGCUCGGUUCCAGCCUCGCUCUUCCAGCCCUGCCUUGCCCUUCGCCCCGGGGCCCGACGGGUCGCCUCGCCGGCUCCCUAAUAACCUGGGCGCUUCGGCACCUGGGUGCCCUGCCCCAGCCCUGCUCCUGCUUUGCAUGGCGAGGCCGCGGUGGGUGCCAGCACCUGAGGUGGGUGCCGGCACCCUCCUGCCCUCCCCGUCCUCUGGAGAGCACCUCCUGGGUGCAGCAGAGCGAAUGCCCGGCCUUCCUCUUCCUCCUCUCCUCCUCCUCCUCCUCCAGCCAAGCGCGGCGGAGGCUCCCCAGCGGUCGCGGGGGUGCCGAGGGGAUGCUUGGAGGGGGGCGUCGGGGUACCCGGGCGGGAGCUGCGGAGGAGUUAAUGGAGGGAAAAGGCAGCGGGAAGGCAGCGGCGCCUCUUCCUGCGAGCGCCCGCGCGCCUGCGCGCCGGCCGAGCAGAUGGGUGAGCCUGUGUGGUUUGUGGGUGUGCCCCCGCGGGGCCGGCUGCGUGCGAGGCAGGCGUGCGCGAGGCCGCGUGCGUGUGCAUGCGUGUGGGGUGUGUGUGUGUGUGUGUGAGCCCGGCAGUGUUUGCCUAACCUUGCGGGGAGGUGCCGGGUUUGGGGAGGGGGAUUUGGCACGGCCACGCUGGGCCAGCUGGGGUGUGAGGCUCCCGUGCAGCGCAGGGGGGGGAUUUGGGGUGUGCGUGCACACGCGUGUGC
rnacentral:lncRNA from 1 species